rnacentral:rRNA from 1 species
GUAGGAUAGGUGGGAGGCUUUGAAGUGUGGACGCCAGUCUGCAUGGAGCCGACCUUGAAAUACCACCCUUUAAUGUUUGAUGUUCUAACGUUGACCCGUAAUCCGGGUUGCGGACAGUGUCUGGUGGGUAGUUUGACUGGGGCGGUCUCCUCCUAAAGAGUAACGGAGGAGCACGAAGGUUGGCUAAUCCUGGUCGGACAUCAGGAGGUUAGUGCAAUGGCAUAAGCCAGCUUGACUGCGAGCGUGACGGCGCGAGCAGGUGCGAAAGCAGGUCAUAGUGAUCCGGUGGUUCUGAAUGGAAGGGCCAUCGCUCAACGGAUAAAAGGUACUCCGGGGAUAACAGGCUGAUACCGCCCAAGAGUUCAUAUCGACGGCGGUGUUUGGCACCUCGAUGUCGGCUCAUCACAUCCUGGGGCUGAAGUAGGUCCCAAGGGUAUGGCUGUUCGCCAUUUAAAGUGGUACGCGAGCUGGGUUUAGAACGUCGUGAGACAGUUCGGUCCCUAUCUGCCGUGGGCGCUGGAGAACUGAGGGGGGCUGCUCCUAGUACGAGAGGACCGGAGUGGACGCAUCACUGGUGUUCGGGUUGUCAUGCCAAUGGCACUGCCCGGUAGCUAAAUGCGGAAGAGAUAAGUGCUGAAAGCAUCUAAGCACGAAACUUGCCCCGAGAUGAGUUCUCCCUGACUCCUUGAGAGUCCUGAAGGAACGUUGAAGACGACGACGUUGAUAGGCCGGGUGUGUAAGCGCAGCGAUGCGUUGAGCUAACCGGUACUAAUGAACCGUGAG